ACCCAACAUAAAAAUGAGACAAAUAAAACAAAAUUAGCCAACAGGGAAUUGGAAUAGGAAAGUCCACCAUCGAGAACCUUCAUCUUUUUCACAAGAAUAGGGUCCCUGAGAUGGAUUCACGCUGGUGUUGAUAUCAACUGGAAGCACCUGAUACAGGUCCUAACUUGGUCCAAGAGAAAGCUAGCUUGAGUAGAAAUCAUUGAGGACUCUUCAAAGUCUCACAAGCGCCAUGACUCUAGCUCGUUGAAGACUCCUUCAACAUAGCUUUAUAGAAUCAGGAAAAAUUACCAAUUGAGCUUCAAAAGGAACUAAUACCACUGUUCAGGGAUGAAUCUUAUCAUAUCUAUGAAGUCUAUUUUUUGUGGAAUCUGGCCUGAAUUUCUAGAAGCGGGUCCCAUAUUUCUCAUUUUGGACCCUAAAAUUGACCCAUCUCCGAAAAUAUAAUUUUAGUAUCAAAACAUUUGUAUUGAGGAGGUGAUCAACAUUUUGAUAGCAUGGAGGCAAUUGGAGUUAUUUUUGGAGUUGAAAGUUACCGGGAAGUGGACUGGGAGCGCACGUGUUCGGCUUCGAGGCACACAGGGGCUUGGGAGGUAAUGUCUGAUUAUUUGCGAACUUGUGGCAGUAUAAAGGGUGGUCUCGUGUUUGAAGAUCAUAGGACAGGUUUUCUUUGCUGAUUUGGAUAUCGUGCGGAGCAACUCUUGGAUUUUAGAGACUUGGGUGAGUUCUUGGCAUUAAGAGUUGCCUAUCUCCCUUUGUUUUGACUUGGACUAGUCUUUAUUUUAUUUUUGGAGACAGUCACACUAUUAUUGUAUCUGUAUAAACCUUGUACUUCCUUAUUUAGUCUAGUGGCUCAACUACUGACUGAGACUAGGUUUUUGGGGUUAUCUUGUUGUAUUGUUCUCAUUCUUCUUUUCUUAUUAUAAAUAUUAUUAUUAUUCA